rnacentral:rRNA from 1 species
GGUGGAUUAGUGGCGAACGGGUGAGUAACACGUGAGCAACCUGCCCCUGACUCUGGGAUAAGCGCUGGAAACGGCGUCUAAUACUGGAUACGAGUAGCGAUCGCAUGGUCAGUUACUGGAAAGAUUUUUUGGUUGGGGAUGGGCUCGCGGCCUAUCAGCUUGUUGGUGAGGUAAUGGCUCACCAAGGCGUCGACGGGUAGCCGGCCUGAGAGGGUGACCGGCCACACUGGGACUGAGACACGGCCCAGACUCCUACGGGAGGCAGCAGUGGGGAAUAUUGCACAAUGGGCGGAAGCCUGAUGCAGCAACGCCGCGUGAGGGAUGACGGCCUUCGGGUUGUAAACCUCUUUUAGCAGGGAAGAAGCGAAAGUGACGGUACCUGCAGAAAAAGCGCCGGCUAACUACGUGCCAGC